CGACAGCGUUCUGAAGAGGACGUCCGCACUUUCGUUAAAGUGCGGACGGCGCUGCUGCAGCUCGGCUCGGGUGCGAUGGAGCGGCGGAGCUUGCUGGACGGACGCCACGGGUCAGACGGACGGGUCUGCAGUCGGUGGAGUCGCCGGCGACGUGGUUGCAGCCUUGCCCAGAAACCUGCAGUUGCAGGUGAGCUCGCUGCCCAGAAACCUGCAACUCCGACCUCCUCCGACCUCGAACGCUGCCCAGAACCGUCCGCCAAGCCUCCGGCCUCCGUCCACCAAGCCCCGAGCCGCCGGCCAAGCCUGGAACGCCGCCGCUGCGUCGCCGUCGACACUUUAGCCAAGUGCGGACGUCCGCUUCAGAACCCGCCCG
rnacentral:lncRNA from 1 species